rnacentral:lncRNA from 1 species
ACUCAAGUCGGUCAACUUGCUAAACAACUAGCGGAAUAACAACCCGGACCAUCUUUUUCGGUGAACACGCAAACGAAUCCAAAAAAGCAUUGUAAAGCGAUAACGACGAGAAGUGGAAGGGAGUUGAUUAGUGAGAGUAAAAAAAGAGAUGAGAGUGAAAAAAGAGAGGAUGAGAAAAAAUAUGAGGAGAAAAAAAUAGAGGAUAGCAUUGAUGUUGAAGUUGGGGAGUGGAGUGAGGAAGAAGUUGAAAAAAAUGAAAAAUAUGGUGAAGUAGAAAAUAAAGAAAGUGUGGAAGUUGAAAAAAAAAGAGUGAUGAAGUGAAGGUGGAGGGAGUAAAAAAGAAAAGAGAG